ACAGCUGAGAAACGGUUGGAGCAUGAUGGGAAACAGGAGAGAACGCUGCUGCCAGAUGGACCAAUCAGAGGAUCCAGAACGACGUUAAAGCAGGUUUGAGAGAGGAGACGACGUCUGAUGGAGGAGAAGCUGCUCCAUCACUACCAGCGGAGAAGGAAACUUUUCCAUGAAGCCGUAUCUGUUUGGGCAGAGAAGCUAACGGACACGGUUAGCAUGAUGACCUCAACGUUAGCUAGCAAUCCACAAGUCAUCUGGUUCCAUCCAGCCGCUGAUGUCCUCUCACUCUAAAACAAAUCGUUGGGUCACAAACUCUUGUUCAGGUCGUCAAGUCGUCAGGUCAUCAGGUCGUCAGUGGUGCAAGUCAUCAGAUCAUUAGGUCAUCAGGUCGUCAGGUUAUCAAGUCAUCAGGUCAUUAGUCUGACGGGUCAUCAGGUCGUCUGGUCUUCAGGUCAUCAAGUCAUCAGGUCAUCAGUCUGACAGGUCAUCAGGUCGUCAAGUCGUCAGGUCAUCAGAUUGUUAGGUCGUCAAGUCAUCAGGUCAUCAGUCUGACAGGUCGUCAGGUCGUCAGGUCUUCAGGUCGUCAAGUCAUCAGGUCGUCAGUCUGACAGGUCGUCAGGUCUUCAGGUCGUCAAGUCAUCAGGUCAUCACGUCAGUGGUGCAGGUAUCUGUGAGCCGAGUCUCCUCAGCUAAACCUCUUCAGUCAGAGCAGAGCUUUUAUUUUGUAGGAGUCACCGUCUUGUGUUUGAUGACAGAAACCUUCAGCAGGAACCUCAGAGACGUUGGUUUGGGUCUCGACCUUCAGAGCUGAGCGUCCCCGUCGGGGGGGUGUGGGCAGCAGCUGUCCCGCGGCGUGCACAAUGCGGCCGUGACAUUUGAGAGGCCGUUGGAGCCGAGGCCCGGCCACGUGAAGCUGCAGCUCAGGAAGGAGUCCAGCAUUCUGCUGGGAGGACGGACGGCCAGAGAAGAUGAAAGCGUCAGGGAUCAGGCGGCGGCGGCCGUGAUGAAAACAGGCGGCGGCGUUGAGCCUCCGUCCGCCGCUGCUUUCAACCGCUGCCAUCUCAUUUCAAAGGGAUCAUCCCGGACUCUCAGAGACGCAGCAUCUCUGCUACAUGCAGACAUAAUCCAUUUUUCAUCAGGCUCCAUAAGCCCCCCGGAGGAGCACCCCGCCCCCGCCUGUGUUUGUUUUGGUUUGAAGGUGGCGGCGCUGAAAGGGUGGAGCAUCAGACGAGGUAAAAAUAGACUCUGCGUCAUCGCAGGAGAAUCCUCACUCCCCUGCAGGGACUCCUCUGGGCUGAUCCUUCCACUCACACCUGCAUCACCAGCAGGUGAGAAGCCACGCCCACAGACGGGAGUGGGCGGGGCUGGAGGAAUGCGAGGAACGCAGGCAGCUCACGUCACGACCAGAAAGACGAGAAAAGCAGGAGGGAGACGAAGAAAACAGAGGAAGGUUUCUACGGAGCGCCGGAGGGACAAAAGGAGCGAAACCAUGACGAAGCAAAAAUCAAUCAAACGAUUUGUUUGUUAUUUAAAAUGUGAGACGGUUUUAAAACAGGCUGUUAAUGUUGGACUUCAUAUCACUUCAUAUGAAUUCAAGUUUCUAAAUAUCUCAUUGAUCUUACUUUAACAUAUUUAACCCUUAAAACACCACUGACAAACCAGGUUACCAUGACGACAGCCUGUCUGGAUUCAGAUUCACUUAAAAUCAUCUGUCAGACAUGAACAGGUCUCCGUGGAGACGUUUACUGGAGGUGGGACCUUCAUAAAUGAUCAACCAAACACAGGAAGUGAGCCUGGUGGUGACUUCAGCGGGAACGUGUCCGGACAUGUUGGAGUCCGAGGUGAGCUGCAGACUUCAUCAGAGUUCAUCUGAGUUCAUCUGAGCCGUCUGCCUCACGUUUAUGGAAGUUCAGUGACCUCUGACCUCUGGAAAGGUCAUCCCCACAGUUCAGUCCUCUUGGAGAUGACGGAGAACAUCUGACCUUCAGGUCUUCACUGUGGAGUCUCCAACCUCAGUGACCCAGAAAAGCUGCUGCUGUUGGAUGCUGAUCAGCAUGACUCAGACAGUGGAUGGAUGAAGCCUGAGGACACCUGCUGCUCAGGUGAAGCGGGUUCUUCAGCUCCGUGCUCGUCUCGGCUUGUUUGGGUGGAAGGCGUGAUGCGUCACAGAUCACAUGAGGAUCAGUCAGCGAGGACAGGAAAUGCUGUUUCCUCUCAGCAGCAGCCUGACAUGGUUCAUGGGGGCGGAGUCUGGCGAGCUUCACCUAUCUGCUCACAUACCUUUGAGCUGCUUUGGAGCAGAUCAGGAGGACCAGGAGGAGAUGAGACGCUCCUCCGUCACACAGUCUGUGUUUGUGGUUCUGGUCCGUCCACGGCGGCCCGCAGGGAUGUGCUGGAGUUGCAUAACGACUUCCCGUUCAGCACUUUGCUGUGAUUGGACGUGCUGCGGCGCCGUUUGCAGAUCUGCUGCUCGGCGGCUCGGAUCCUCAUUACAGGAUCAACUCUUUCAUCCUUCAGUUCAAAGCGGCGAGAAGACAUGCGCUGCAUCUUAAGGAGGAAGAGGGGGAGAAUGAGGAGGAGCAGGGGAACCCGCUGGGGGCGGAGCCAGGCAGGAAAGGCAGCUGGACUGAAUGAAGAUGUAACUGCAGCGUUUCAACAGUGAUGAGACAUUUUCUCUGGUUACCGAAGGACAAACGUCUGAGUCACAGCGGCGACCUCCGUCUGAGCGUGACCUUCUGUGGCGGCGCAUGAAUCAGACGUCUCUGAAGGGGAGGAGCUUCAGCCGAGGAGAAGGUCACUGAAGUUGCUCCUCCAUCAACUCAAGGACCUGAGGUUCAAACCUGCAGGAUGGAGGAUGAUGUCACCUGAGGAACGAGGGUUCAGGUGUUUCUGUAGUUCAGGUGGAGCUCUCACGGUCAAUGUUCUGAAAAACAUUCGCCAGGUUGAUGUUUAGUCUGUUUCCUGAAGGAAAUGAUUUAAGAGUCGAUCAUCAAAAAAACAAAAUCAUCAGUAAACAAGCAAACAAACGGUGGUCUCUAUGCCUAACAUCACCAGUCGAUGUAGCAUUUAGAGAUUCACACGUUUCAUUUAACUGAACCAGAAAUCCAUCCAUCCGUCCAUCAUCCAUCCAUCCAUCCAUCAUCCAUCAUCAUCCAUCCAUCAUCCAUCCAUCCAUCCA